rnacentral:rRNA from 1 species
UACGUAGGAUGCAAGCGUUGUCCGGAAUUAUUGGGCGUAAAGCGAACGUAGGCGGUCAGUUAAGUCUGGACUUAAAGACCGGGGCUCAACCUCGGGAAUGGUUCGGAUACUGGUUGACUAGAGGAUGUCAGAGGAAAGUGGAAUUCCAAGUGUAGCGGUGAAAUGCGUAGAUAUUUGGAGGAACACCAGUGGCGAAAGCGGCUUUCUGGGACAUUCCUGACGCUGAGGUUCGAAAGCUCGGGGAGCAAACAGG